UAGUCCACGCCGUAAACGAUGUCAACUAGCUGUUGGGAUUUAUCUUAGUAGCGAAGCUAACGCGAUAAGUUGACCGCCUGGGGAGUACGCGCGCAAGCGUAAAACUCAAAGGAAUUGACGGGGGCCCGCACAAGCGGUGGAGCAUGUGGUUUAAUUCGAUGCAACGCGAAGAACCUUACCAGGCCUUGACAUCCUGAGAACUUUCUAGAGAUAGAUUGGUGCCUUCGGGAAUUCAGUGACAGGUGCUGCACGGCUGUCGUCAGCUCGUGUCGUGAGAUGUUGGGUUAAGUCCCGCAACGAGCGCAACCCUUGUCCUUAGUUGCCAGCACGUAAUGGUGGGAACUCUAAGGAGACUGCCGGUGACAAGCCGGAGGAAGGCGGGGAUGACGUCAAGUCCUCAUGGCCCUUACGGGUUGGGCUACACACGUGCUACAAUGGUGGUGACAGUGGGCAGCUACACAGCGAUGUGAUGCUAAUCCCCAAAAACCAUCUCAGUUC
rnacentral:rRNA from 1 species